UACGAAGGGGGCUAGCGUUGUUCGGAAUCACUGGGCGUAAAGGGUGCGUAGGCGGGUUCUUAAGUCAGGGGUGAAAUCCCGGGGCUCAACCUCGGAACUGCCUUUGAUACUGGGGUCCUUGAGUCCGGAAGAGGUGAGUGGAACUGCGGGUGUAGCGGUGAAAUUCGUAGAUAUUCGCAAGAACACCGGUGGCGAAGGCGGCUCACUGGUCCGGAACUGACGCUGAGGCACGACAGCGUGGGGAGCAAACAGG
rnacentral:rRNA from 1 species